GUGAUGUUCAGAAUGAGCUGUAAUCUC
rnacentral:sRNA from 1 species